CGUAUGCAACCUACCUAUAACUGGGGGAUAGCUCAGAGAAAUCUGAAUUAAUACCGCAUAAAUUAUUUGAUGGCAUCAUUAGAUAAUUAAAACUCAGGUGGUUAUAGAUGGGCAUGCGUGACAUUAGCUAGUUGGUAAGGUAACGGCUUACCAAGGCUACGAUGUCUAGGGGGUCUGAGAGGAUGAUCCCCCACACUGGUACUGAGACACGGACCAG
rnacentral:rRNA from 1 species